CUCAGCACUGUGUGUGCACACACUUCCCCGAGUUCUGGAGAUUACUCCUAGACGGCUGCUGCUGCUGCCUUCACACGAGUGAAGUGAUGCCGAAAGAUGAGCCACAAACAUCCCUGGAGAGGUACGAGCCCUCGGCACCACAGGCAAGACAACAGCCUGCGACCCCAAAGGCACGGCAGGAGCCCCCGGCCCCCAGGGCACGACAAGAGCCACCACCACCCCGGGCAAGACAACAGCCACCGGCCCCCAGGGCACGACAAGAGCCCACACCACCGCGGGCAAGACAACAGCCACCGGCCCCCAGGGCACAGCAGGAGCCCCCACCACCACGGGCAAGACAACAGCCCCCGGCUCCCAGGGCACGGCAGGAGCCCCCACCACAACGGGCAAGACAAUAGCCACCAGCCCCCAGGGCAAGUCAACAGCCUCCGGCCCCCCGGGCAAGGCAACAGCCCCCACCACCGCGGGCAAGAGAGGCGCCCAUGCCGUAGCGGCUAAUAUCACCACCUGAGAAGGCAUGCCCUAUCACCAUCAGAGGCAUGCGCCCCCAACCAACACCAUCAGGGAGGCACCCUCCCCUCCACCAUCGGGGAGGCAUGUCUCCCACCACCAUCGGGGAGGCACACCCCCACCACCAUCGGGGAGGCACAUCCCCCACCACCAUUGGGGAGGCACACCCCACCACCACCAUCGGGGAGGCACACCCCAUCACCACCAUCGGGGAGGUGCUUGCAGACACAUUAUGUAUUUACAAAUACAAUUUACUAAUAAAAUGUUUAUGUAUUAUGA